UCCUGUUCACGAAGGCAUAGCGGAUGUGGAUAAUGUUUCUUCUAUAAAUGUAGUUAGAUUGACUGCUGUCGAUAUGUGCACUAAAUGAGAAAAUGUGAUAUUUGUUAACCUACCUGGCAAUUCAUUACAGUGACAGUUUUUUCUGGGCUCUGGAAUCUUCAAAUUUAGUGCAAGAAGACUAACAGAACAGACCUUUUUACUGUUAUCGGAUAGAUCCAUAACUACCGAUAUUUGGAAGUGGAGCCAAUAACCAAAACAUUGAUAGAGUGGUCUUUGAAGUGGUCGAGGAUGGGCUGAAACAUUCUUUUACAGUAAAUGUAGCGAUGUUCAGGUUCCCCGUAAUAUUCUAAACGGACACAAACGGUAACUGCGUAUUUGAUGUACAGUUAAAGGGAAGUAAUUAAAAUAAGAAAUUUACAUACUUUCUCUGUACAUCGGUUUAAACCAGUCCUAUUACUUUGGAACAUGCAGCGGAUUAAGAGUGAGGUAUGGUGCACCAUCAACUAGAGACUGAUGCUAAUCUAUACAAGCCAUGCUAAAUGAACUGUGGUGUGACAGCAGUAAUACCGGUGCAAAUCACUGAAUAGAUGAAAGAGCAUGUAAUUUAAUUGUAAUACAAUGACAUUUGUGUGAUACAACUUAUUUCAUGAUGGUAAUAAACAAAGGGAAGUAAGUAAAAUUUGAAUAAUUGUA